CUCACGGCCUCACCCUCAACCUCAAGCAACCGCGCCGCCGCCCCUGCGAAGCGUUCGUGCCGCAGCUCCGCCAUGAAGUUCAAGAUCGCGACCGAAGAAGACGAGGAGCUGCGGAGAAUCUCUAAGGAGGAAUUCAAGGGUUAUGUCUUCACAAUCAUUGGUGGCUGCCACUAGUAGAAAAAGGGUCAUCUGUCCCGGUUGGUAAGGGCCUUUUGUCCCGGUUGUUGAACCGGGACUAAAGGGUCGUUACUAAUGCCCUAG